UCAAUAGGAGGCAAAGACAAUAGAGCCAUCAUCUUAUUUUUGGUCUCGCUAAAUACGAGCCCUGGCUAGACAGCCCCAACUGGACAGCCAAGGGUGGGCUUGCCCUCUUGGCAGAGGGGAACUGGAAAGAACCAGUCCAUGUGGGCUCCAGGCUAUGCCCAGAGAGAGUAGAAGAGUGGCUGUCACUCAUCUUGCUUGAGCAUAUUCAGAGGCGUCUACCUCAGGGCUCUUUAUCACUCAGCAGGGGGUAGGUUGAAGUUGCUAUAUCUGACCAUACAGUGUAGCUUCAGGUUCCUGGAGGUAUCAGUGCAGGAAUGGAACAUGGUUCAAGUAUGUCUUGCAGGGAGCCUUGGUUUUCAGUUCUAAGCAAUAGACCUAAGUAGGAAAACAAAUUCUCCUGCCUCAGGCUUGGGUAAGGACCUAGAGUUACCAGCAAUUGGAGCUUGUGAGUUACAGACCCUGAACUCAACUGGACCCAAGUCUCAGGUGAGGUUCAAGUCAGCCCCAGACUUGGCAUCAGACUUGGGGCUCAUAACAGAAUCAUCUUCCAGCUCACUGGGAGGAGCUGUGGAGGGCAUACGUCGGGCCUGGGGGAGCUAGUACCCAUAGGGGGAACACCCUCUCAAGCUUCUGCUCCACCCUCAGGCAGCCUCCAGCACCCUGGGAUGUCCCCAAGUACUUGUAUAUGUGGAUAGAUGCAUCUUGGAGCAUUCCAUCUCCCGGGGAACGGAUGCUUGGAGAAGCUUGUCUGAGGUUCCUCAGUGCCAAGGUUGCUCCCAACCUGAGGCCCUCCCAUCAUGGGUGUUUAUCACCUGUUAAAACGGCCAACUUCACAGGAGUGUGCCCUGGGUAAGUGAUCUGUUUCAAGGUGGGAGGGGUCAUGGCAUCCCAGAUCUCACCCUUGGGUUUUCCGAAGAAGCUGGUGUGUUUUAGGACAGUAGGAAAUCCAUCCGAAUUUCCUGUGUAUCAUUAUUAUCCCUUUUGCUGGUGUUCCAUGGAACUGUUUCAAGUCACUUGGGAGCCUACAGCCAACAAGGAGACCAGGACCAGUCAUCUCAGACCCCUGAAGAUGACUAGUGGGAGAGGAUACUGACCACUAUUGGAGUCAUCUGGGCAUGGGAGAUGAGACACCUUGGACCAUGGUGACAUAUCAUCCUGAGGCAAAAUAGAAGGGAAAGGGGGUCAUGGGCUCCAGUAGUGGCUCCUUGGACUCCUUGGAAGGUUAAUUUGUGGCUCUCUGGAUCACCCAUCGACCCUUACUGUGGUCGUUUGACCACACUUUCAGCCUAAAGAGCCCAGUUGGGGCCUGGUAUUGCCUUUGCACCUCUGCAGAUAGAAGCAUUUGCCCAAAGACAGUGUCAUGAAGCCUUCUUUAACUCUUCUAAUGUUCGUUCAUCUAUCCCAGUAUAUCCCUGUCACAGCCAGGAAGCAUGCCCAAGUCACCAGUCCCGAGCAGGAAUGAGCUUCAGACAUGGACGGGGGACAUCUCAAGGUUGACAGAGAGGGGCUUGUUGGGUUGCUGUGUCAGAGGAUGAACCCAGGGCACUGGCCACUCACUGGGGUCAUCCAGCAGGAACUAAUUCCUCUUACCUCCCAAGAGGAGGCUCAACCAGGGUGGAUAUCUGGUUUGCUCAGGCCGCCCAGCUCUUGGGUGACAGGGUUUUAUAUGACUUGAAAACUAGGACAAUGAACUAUCAUACUUCUCUACCCCACUGCUUCAGCAUGGGGGCAUUGCUUUACCAAACAUAAACAGGAGGGAGGUGCCCCAGAGGCAGGCUGACACUCUGGGAGUAACACUUUGAUAGACAUCCUAGAGCCAAAAAUCCUUAACCCUGCCUGUAGUUGGGGAGGGACCUGGGACACAAGAUGACUCCAUCUCAUGGCGCCAUGACAUGCCACAGGACUAAGACUGAGAUCCAUCUCCUGGCUCCUUCAGAAGCCACUCCCUUCCUGUUCCUAUCCUAUGUCCUUGGGAGAAGUAGCAAAGCGAGUGUUCUGUGGUAGCAGGGCCAGGCUGGGAUGCUGUCUCCCAGAGGCAGUUCCUAAGUGAGGGAAGCUGUGGAGGCCCUGGAGAACCAUUUGGUUUUUAUACCUGCUCAGCCCUGUGCAAUGUGCCUUGUGGCUCCCCACAUGUGUGACCCUCGGGGCUUUCUGUUGUGCUUUUUGUGUUUUUUUUAAUGUUUAUAAGAACCUUAUUAAUAAUAGAAAAUAACCUGGAAAGAGCCCCAACACUCACAGAUUGAUAAAUGGAUCAAACACUGGUGCAUCCGAAUUGGGGGGGGGGGGAGGGCAGCUAUGGUUCAGUGCUGAGAGGUGCAGGCUGGAGAGCCCGGCCUGAGGGCUGUGUGAUCUCUGACUUUGUCAAAUGGCAUUUUGCUUAGGAGAUCUUAGUCUUUACAGCCGUUUGGGGUUCACAGCAAACGAGCAGAAGGUACAGCAACCAUAUGCCCCUCAGCAUUACUGAAUGUCUCCUCUCCAUCUGUAAAUGAGGGUACUCUGGAGAUCUAGCAGGGAGAGUGGGCGUGUCUUCAGAGUGUGGGAAAGUCUUAUCAGCUAUCAAGUGUGGUGCCUUGGCCAAGGCUCCUUAUCAGAGUCUCAAUAAACUCUCAGAGACAGCGGCUGGCUGGCCUGCCCACUGGUCUUAUGGAUGGUGGGAGAAUCUGGCCAGUAUCCAAUGCAGAAGAUUCUGGAAAAGUGCCUCAGUCUCAUUGCUUAGAACUGAGGACGGAUCCUCGCAACCUGACCUGGUCUCCUCAGAGGUCUGUCAUCUGCUGUGUAAUGAUGGAAAACUACUAGCCGGUCCAGGGGCUCUGUUAUCUGCCAUCAGUGUGCUAGAGAGGAGAGCACUCAGGGCUGGGAGAACUGCAAUGCCAUGAACUUCCUUUCUGCCUCCAGAGAAUGAAGGGACCAUGAUGUGCCAUGGUUCCAGCGACUCUACAAUCUCUAAACCCCAUCAUGAAACCUAGAAUAAUACAUGUCCCUGGUGGGAAGGGGACAGAUGAUUGAGAGUUGGGGUAUCUAGUCUUGCUCCACCACUCUGCAACCUCAGCAGAUUCCACACUCCCAUUUGAACAAGUCCUUCUAGCAUCACUGUCUUGAGUGGCUAUGGGGCAAAGUAGGCACUGCUCUAACAUACUCCUUUCCUUAGCAUCCAUGGAGACUGAAAUGAGAAUUGGGUCCCCAGGACUCAGCCCCAUGGACAAAAGGGCACCUGGACUCAGCCACAUGGGUCAGGCUGACAUAGUUGCUCCUGAGUGGGACAAUUCUGCCUCUCUUGUCAAUCUGCACAUGGCCCUGAGGAAUACAGAAUUCUGCAUUAAGGUCUCAGCCGAUCCGCAGUAACUGGGACCUCUGCAGCACUUCUAGACAAGAGAGUGUCCUGAGUCUGGAGAACCGAGAAAGAGGGCGCCUGCUUGUCCUCACUCUGGGCAGUAUGCUGGGCUUCCUCUAUGAGGAUCUGGCCAUGAGGUGAGCUGGUGGCUGAUUCUCAGGCUAGACUGAAGGCGUCAGUGUCAGCCACAGGCAGCAGGCGCUCAUUAGAGACCUUGUAUGUGCAUUUGGGGGUAGGGAGGAGAGAGUGGAAGGAAACCCCAAUAUGUCACCCCAAAUGUGCUGUUUGACAUGGACAUUUCUGAGCUGAAGGCAGUUAUGAAACCAGCAAAGGCAGGAAGUUCUCUCUCUCUCUCUCUCUUUCUCUCUCAUUCCCUCUCUGUACCAUUUCUAAAAACAUCAAUAAAUUCUCUC
rnacentral:lncRNA from 1 species